GAAAAGGUCAGGAAGAAAGAGAAAAAGAAUGGAAAAAGCAAAAUGGAGAUGAAUGUGGAAAUCAAAGGAUGGGUGGAGGAAGGAGACAAAAAAAGAGAGAGAUAUAAUAAAUAUAAAAUCUGAGCUCAUAAUGAGAUUUUCAAUUAUUGCAGACGGCCUACAGAUGCAAUAAAACUGCGAUGCUGACGGCAGACAGGUCAGUGACGCAGUGACACACAUUCGCAUAAACAACAAUAUCAGGUAUCAGAGAGUGAACUCGUGCUCAGACUACACAUAAAUACACCCAACAUGAAGCCACAUACGAUUACUCAUCAUAUUUAUACUGAAAUCUCUACGACUGCCACUACAUCGGCUCUUUAUGUAAUUCAUGUAAACAUUUUUCAUUUCGUAUAAAACUGAAAAAUCAUAAAACCACCAAAUAAAACUUUAAAAGGUGAAGUGAGACCCUUACCAACACCAAUACACAACAUUUUGGAAAUGUGCUAUAUAUGUGUUAAAUUUUAGAGGCCCUACACACUAUGUUUCAGCUAGGUAAGGCAACUAUCUCUGUAAUGACUGUGUUUUUCUUUCUUGAACAUAAUCUGCUAAUUGCAGAUGAAAUUCAAUACUGAAGCCGUCCACCUGCUCCUGUUACCGAGCCAGCCCCCAUAAUGCCAUCGAUUCAUCUCUGUAAUGAAAUCAGGAUCAUCACCCGCCUGCCUGUCUUCCUGCUCAUCUGCCUACCUGCCACCUCACCUCCAUUCCCUGGUAUAUUUCAAUAAAUCUGUUAAACUGGA